rnacentral:rRNA from 1 species
GCAGCAACGCCGCGUGGAGGAUGACACUUUUCGGAGCGUAAACUCCUUUUGUUAGGGAAGAAUAAUGACGGUACCUAACGAAUAAGCACCGGCUAACUCCGUGCCAGCAGCCGCGGUAAUACGGAGGGUGCAAGCGUUACUCGGAAUCACUGGGCGUAAAGGACGCGUAGGCGGAUUAUCAAGUCUCUUGUGAAAUCUAACGGCUUAACCGUUAAACUGCUUGGGAAACUGAUAAUCUAGAGUAAGGGAGAGGCAGAUGGAAUUCUUGGUGUAGGGGUAAAAUCCGUAGAUAUCAAGAAGAAUACCUAUUGCGAAGGCGAUCUGCUGGAACUUAACUGACGCUAAUGCGUGAAAGCGUGGGGAGCAAACAGGAUUAGAUACCCUGGUAGUCCACGCCCUAAACGAUGUAUACCGGUUGUUGCUGUGCUAGUCACGGCAGUAAUCCACCUAACGGAUUAAGUAUACCGCCUGGGGAGUACGGUCGCAAGAUUAAAACUCAAAGGAAUAGACGGGGACCCGCACAAGCGGUGGAGCAUGUGGUUUAAUUCGAAGAUACGCGAAGAACCUUACCCGGACUUGAUAUCUAACAAAUCAUCCAGAGAUGGAAGAGUGUCUGCUUGCAGAAAUGUUAAGACAGGUGCUGCACGGCUGUCGUCAGCUCGUGUCGUGAGAUGUUGGGUUAAGUCCCGCAACGAGCGCAACCCACGUCAUUAGUUGCUAACGGUUCGGCCGAGCACUCUAAUGAGACUGCCUUCGUAAGGAGGAGGAAGGUGUGGACGACGUCAAGUCAUCAUGGCCCUUAUGUCCGGGGCGACACACGUGCUACAAUGGCAUAUACAAUAAGACGCAAUAUCGUAAGAUGGAGCAAAUCUAAAAAAUAUGUCCCAGUUCGGAUUGGAGUCUGCAACUCGACUCCAUGAAGCCGGAAUCGCUAGUAAUCGUAGAUCAGCCAUGCUACGGUGAAUACGUUCCCGGGUCUUGUACUCACCGCCCGUCACACCAUGGGAGUUGAUUUCACUCGAAGCGGGAAUGCGAAAUUCGCUACCCUCCACAGUGGAAUCAGCGACUGGGGUGAAGUCGUAACAAGGUAACCGUAGGAGAACCUGCGGUUG